rnacentral:rRNA from 1 species
GAUGGCCAGCCACAUUGGGACUGAGAGACGGCCCAGACUCCUACGGGAGGCAGCAGUGGGGAAUCUUGCGCAAUGGCCGCAAGGCUGACGCAGCGACGCCGCGUGGGGGAGGAAGGGCUUCGGCUCGUAAACCCCUGUUGCCCGGGGCGAACCUCUGGUUUCGACCAGACUGACGGUACCGGGUGAGGAAGCACCGGCUAACUCCGUGCCAGCAGCCGCGGUAAUACGGAGGGUGCGAGCGUUGUCCGGAAUCACUGGGCGUAAAGGGCGCGUAGGCGGCACGUCAAGCGCGUGGUGAAAGCCCGGGGCUCAACCCCGGGUCGGCCGUGCGGACUGGCGUGCUCGAGCACUGUAGGGGCGGGUGGAAUUCCGGGUGUAGCGGUGGAAUGCGUAGAGAUCCGGAAGAACACCGGUGGCGAAGGCGGCCCGCUGGGCAGGAAGGGAGAGCAAUCUCCCGGCUGACGCUGAGGCGCGACAGCGUGGGGAGCAAACAGGGUUAGAUACCCUGGUAGUCCACGCCGUAAACGAUGGGCACUAGGUGCCUGGGGGAGCGACCCCCCGGGUGCCGGCG